rnacentral:tRNA from 21 species
GGGGUUUUAGCUCAGCUGGGAGAGCACCUGCCUUGCACGCAGGGGGUCAUCGGUUCGAUCCCGAUAAGCUCCACCA